ensembl:lncRNA
CAAGACCCCCACUGGCCCCAGCAGCCCAGAUCCAAAAAAAAAAAAAAAAAAAAAAAAGGCUCUCUCGGGAUCACCUGAACCAGAGCUUGGAAAAACCCGCGGGAAGAUCGUUUGGGUUUCGUUGUUUGCAAAGGCUGGCGGGCUGGGGUGGGGGGGGGCGGACGGUGGCACCCCAUGCCCGAGACGGCCCCGUCAGGUCGCUGGCGCUGACUUGAAGCCUGGGAGGAUAGCCUCUUUCUGCACAGGGAACUGACUCGGGUUUGGAGCCCGCAGCUGAGGGCGCUGGGCGUGCGUCCUCAAUCCUCCUGCGGUCAGCAAUGCAGUGGCUUCGUCUGCUUUGAGUCGGAGGUCGAUUCUUACGAUUAAAGUCGAGCUGAUGUCCAAUGUUUCUUCCAGGGGUCUUGGUCCGCCAAGGGACCCACUCGCAGACAUUUCCCCGCGCUGUACCGGCGGCUCCCGUGGCCCAUCCAUUCCACACAGCGCAGGUGGCAUCCACAGAGCAGCCCAGGGGCCCAUCCCCAUCCAUCCCAGGGCAGCCCCUUUCCCCCACCUGCCAAGCCCAAGUGUGUGCUCCUUGCCCACCGUCGGUUUCUGGAGUCUGCGGGUGGGUGUUUAGAUAGCGCCAUCCGUUGCGGCGUUUAGAGUCCACCAACAGGUGAUGUCCUAGGGCACUUGUCUUUGCCUUUCUGGCUUCCUUCGCUUAGUAUGAGGGUCUCUCGUUCCAGCCCCGCGGCGGCAGAUGGCACUCGUUCUGCCGCUUUUUCCUGGCUGUGUGCGAUGCCAUCGCAUGGAUGUCCCCGGGCCUUCGAAGUGCACUCACCUGUCAGUGGACCUUUAGGUGGCUUCCAGAUCUUGGCUCUGCCCCGCGGCGGCAGAUGGCACUCGUUCUGCCGCUUUUUCCUGGCUGUGUGCGAUGCCAUCGCAUGGAUGUCCCCGGGCCUUCGAAGUGCACUCACCUGUCAGUGGACCUUUAGGUGGCUUCCAGAUCUUGGCUCUGGUGAGUAGUGCGGCGACAGACAGAGGGGUGCCCGGGUCUGCUUCCGGGAAAGUUUGGUCCCGGUGAAAUGGAGCUGUUUGGAGGCCGGCUUCGGUCUUUGUGUGGGCCGGCCCGUGUAGGGCUGCUUGGCUGAGACUCUGUCGAGGAGGGAGGCCUUCAGCCACCGGGGCCUCACGGGGCCUCCCCGUGCGGCACCAUCACAGAGCUCUCCGUCACUGCCCCUGGUGGGGGUGAGGGAAGGGGCGUGUUUGGGGGGUGG